GGGGGCCAUAUCACGUGGAAACAUCGGUUCUUGUACGAUUAUCGAAGGUAAGCAACGUUGAGUCUGUUUAGUACCUAGAUGGGUGACCGUUUGAGAAUACCAGGUGCUGCAA